rnacentral:ncRNA from 1 species
AGAACUCUUAACUUGAAUAGUCAAAUGAUAGAGCCAACGAUAAGUUGGGCAACCCUCUUGAAGGACUAUCCCUAAUACUCCGACUGGCUAUAUAUAACGAAAGUUAAAUAGUCAGAAGCUCGGUGAAGUCGGCAGAAAGAGUACCUAAGUCAAUGAAAUAGGUAAGUAAAGAUUGGUACACAAGUGGCUAGAGCCCACCUGUCAAGAAAACCUAAAGUAAACGAUAUGGGAAAUGAUAUGCCGGGGGUCUAUAAA